CACCCCCUCAAAUAUGUCCAGCUCAGUUCCUGUGAGUUUAAUGCAUGUUAAACGCAGCACUGCUUGUUCUUCAAGGCAGUUAAGGAAGGAGGCCCUUCUGGUAUACCCCGAGCACACUGGGGUUCCUGGAUCAUUUCAUUAGGAAAAUUGCUCAGCGGCUCCAAAGAAUCUGGAGCUCCCUGGUCUAUCUCCCAGCCUCUCAAGCCUCCUCCAGCAGGGUCCCGCCCCAAAUUCUCCACAUUCCCCUACUCCAAAAUCUACAGAAUGGACCAUUUAAAGCUUGAGCCAAGAGAUACAGGAAACUCACCCAUUAAAAACAGAGGGAGGGUUGCUUUGUUCAGAAGGUCAGGAUACUGGGCGCUCUGGCGGCCAAGCACAGAUACCUUUUCAUUCCAUGCACACUGCAGCUGUGUAAUCUCAGAAUGGAUAUUUAGGGAAAGGCUUGGGAGCAGGAGGGCUGGAAAAACAAGGCGCCUUCCCUGUGACAAGAGCAAUAUUUACACAGGGUUUGAAGCAGGCGGUUCUGUACCUCUCCCCUCCUGGCUAGGAGCUUCCCUGCAAGAGCAACUCCUUCUCUCAGCAGCGUCCAGCACUUGCAGAGCACAGCCUGAAACCCAAGCUCCCAAAAAGGUGUGCGAACAGCCAAAAGGAAAUGGGAGAGGGCCCAGGCACAGCGGCAUGAGCCAGCAGGAGGGUGAGAUGCUUCCUGGCCAGUGUGGGAGACCCCAGCAGCUGUUGUGAGGCCUGGCCUGAAGCCUGCCACGCGCUCCAAGUGCCUAGAGGACCCCAGCUGGGCCCUCAAAGCCUCCAUAACAGUGACGCACUCACUGCGCACCACCCGAUGCCACCUGUUCAAAUAACUGCGAUUCACAGCAGGAAUUCUCACUACAGCCAGGAAAAGGAGGGGAAGAUCUGUUCUGACAUGGAAAGAUCUUUAAGAUGUCAAAGCAAAAACACAAGCUAUACCACACAGUGGAUACAGUAAGAUUCUUUCUGUAAGACAAAAGCAAAACUCUGUGUCUGCUUGUCUAAUGAACCAAUUAGCUAACCAACCCAGCAACCAAGAAUGAAGACAGACAAUGAGAUGACAGACAGGGUGAAGGUCCUCCCUUCCCAGAGACGUUUGCUUCUGGACCCAGGUGGGGGAGGAGGAGAGAAGAUGGAGUGGGUCUCACUUUAUUUACUUCUUCACUGCCUGUAUCUUUUAUAAUCAAACAUGUCCCAUCUGUGGCAAAGAAUAAAAAUAAAUUGUAAUGGGUCCAAAAAGCUUCAGAAUUCUUUGAACAUUUCAGUCUUUUCUCCUCCUCCAUUAAGAUCUGAGAGUAAAAAGAGGAGGAGAUAGGCUGGGACAGGUCUUAUUGCUGCUUCAGUGCAUUUCUGGGAGCCUGGUACCAUGAAAGAACAGAUGGGUAGGAGCCCACUUGGACGCAUCAUGAAUUCUGUGCAGGCAAAGAAACCCUCAAAAUUAAUGACACUGUGCUGUGUUCCCUGACUAUCAGCAUCCUGUUCUGAAAGUCAAGAAACUUGGCAGAGGAAGGAAUCUGAAUCACAACUAACAGUAAUGAGGUGUGAUAACACAGCCAUCGAGCUCUCACUCUGGAUUUAUCGCGGGUCAAACCGCAACUCCCAAAACAGCUUUGGACAGCAAGCGCCUCCGAAGUGUGCAUGACCCCAGUUUCCACGGGGAGCGCGUGUAAAAAGCUUCCAUGGGGCUUGAGGAUUUCCAUCUGGCUUGGUCCCUGGAGCUGGUUCAGUUAAGGCUUCAAGAAGCAGAGGAGUGGGUUACCUGUGGUGCCCCCUUCGAGUCCCGCGCCAUAGGCGGACACCAGGGCAGGGUUCCCCGCUUGUCCAGGCUCCCCAACGCGCACUUUGAAGGGGCUUCCAACCACGUGGCUCCCAUUGAACUUGACAUCGAUGGUGUGGACACCAUUCUCAUGAGGGAUGAAGCGAACAGCAUACUUAUCUAGGAGAAUGAGCAAAGGCACAGGGUGAAAUCAAGCAAAUGGACACCCCUGAGUUCAGUGAGGACAAAGGAUGGAGGCCAAGCCGAGAUGGCCCAUUUAAAAUCAACAGUUCUACAGGGAGCCUGGCACUCAGCAUCCUGGAUUUCAGAACCAGACAGACCCCCUGGGUAUCCCUCAUCAGCCCCAAGGGAAACGCAUCCACAUUGCAAAUCCUAUAAACACAGGACAAGACUCUGACCCCUGCCUCAGAACACUUCCUUUCUUUAGAAAACCUCACUUCUUCAAUGUGAAAUUCUGUGAAUGCUGUUACUAAUCCUGUCACGAGAUGAAUCUCAUUUCACCAAAAUUAAAUUAUGUUUUUCCACUAAAAUGAUGAUACAAGUUGAAGACACAGCACUCUGAAAUUGGAAGACCUCACCACUUAAGGCUCCACAGUGGCUUACUCAGCUGAACUCUAGGUUACUACUCUUUACUUUGUUCACCCACUGGGGGGUUCAGUUUGUUUUUAAACAUUGGGAGAUGGCCAUUCUAACUACUGUUGAAUGUCUCUGUUUUGGGAAGGCAUAACAAGAAAUAAAAAAGAAUAUAUAUGAAGGGAAAAAAGAAAACCUCACUUCUUCUACGUUUCUCUAUUUGGCCACUUGAAGGGGAAAAAAACGGUUCCAACUGGCAUUAAUGCUCCUUAAUUAAGCUCAAAGCUAGGAACUGCCCCCACAGGGCAGGUUU
rnacentral:lncRNA from 1 species